UCGGGAAUUUUGGGCAAUGGGCGAAAGCCUGACCCAGCAACGCCGCGUGAAGGAUGAAGUUUUUCGGAAUGUAAACUUCGUAAAAAUAGGAAGAAUAAAUGACGGUACUAUUUGUAAGGUCCGGCUAACUACGUGCCAGCAGCCGCGGUAAUACGUAGGGACCAAGCGUUGUUCGGAUUUACUGGGCGUAAAGGGCGCGUAGGCGGCAAUUCAAGUCAUCUGUGAAAUCUCCGGGCUUAACUCGGAACGGUCAGAUGAUACUGCUUUGCUAGAGUGCAGAAGGGGCAAUCGGAAUUCUUGGUGUAGCGGUGAAAUGCGUAGAUAUCAAGAGGAACACCUGAGGUGAAGACGGGUUGCUGGGCUGACACUGACGCUGAGGCGCGAAAGCUAGGGUAGCAAACGGGAUUAGAUACCCCCGUAGUCCCUGAGCGGGCUGGCAAGGCGCAU
rnacentral:rRNA from 1 species